rnacentral:rRNA from 1 species
UACGAAGGGGGCUAGCGUUGUUCGGAAUUACUGGGCGUAAAGCGCACGUAGGCGGAUAUUUAAGUUAGGGGUGAAAUCCCAGAGCUCAACUCUGGAACUGCCUUUAAUACUGGGUAUCUCGAGUCCGAGAGAGGUGAGUGGAAUUCCGAGUGUAGAGGUGAAAUUCGUAGAUAUUCGGAGGAACACCAGUGGCGAAGGCGGCUCACUGGCUCGGUACUGACGCUGAGGUGCGAAAGCGUGGGGAGCAAACAGG